UACGUAGGGUGCGAGCGUUGUCCGGAAUUAUUGGGCGUAAAGAGCUCGUAGGCGGUUUGUUGCGUCUAUCGUGAAAACCUGCAGCUUAACUGUGGGCUUGCGGUGGAUACGGGCAGACUUGAGUUCGGUAGGGGAGACUGGAAUUCCUGGUGUAGCGGUGAAAUGCGCAGAUAUCAGGAAGAACACCCGUGGCGAAGGCGGCUCUCUGGUACGUGACUGACGCUGAGACGCGAAAGCGUGGGGAGCAAACAGG
rnacentral:rRNA from 1 species